GAACAUAGCCAUACUGAGAAAUACAGAGAGAGUUGUGUGGAGCUGAUAGUCUUAAUUAGCUUUGUAGCAACUCAUUUGGCAAUGGCUUGAACAGACAUUCAAUAAUAUCAAAAAGUUACAUACUAAAGCUUUAACACUUGCACACUGUAAAUGAUUAAAAGGUUACCAGAGGGAACACAAAGCGUUGUUUUUCUCACUAAGAGCAGAUUAAAAAAAGUGUAACCAACCACUGGAUCAUUUAGUUACACUCAAUUCAAAGUCUUUUUAAAGGGCAUAUUUUUAUGUGAACUUUAAGUCCGUACCAAAAAAAGUUCCUUUUCCCAUCUUCUCACCCCCCCCCGUCCACAUCCUCAUGUGUAAGCAUCCCACCACGGCACUGUCAAUGUGUAGUUUACGUUUGCAGCCUGCCAAAUCUAAUCACUAUACAUUUCUCAGUUAUGUCACCUCCAUUUUAAUAAAAGGGGAAAAAGAAGGGGAGAGAGAAAAGAUAAUCAAAUUUGCAAGAAAAAGCAAUUGCUCAACAAAGAUUCAGGGCCAGGGCUUAAGACAAGUUCAGUGCGGGGGAAAUAACUAGAUUCUGCAUAGAGAUAGAGUUGGCCCUCCACACUUGAGAGAGAGAGAGAGAGAGAGAGAGAGAGAGAGAGAGAGAGAGAGAGAGAGAGGGGGGGGUGGGGGAGUGAGAGGGAGGGAUUCAGUGAGCUGUUUUAAUUAAAGUGGAGAAGGAGACUUAGAGUAUGCAGCUCCUUCUAUUGUCCCCUCUGUAUGAAAAAGAUUACAUUUUGUUGCCGUCAGGAUUCCUGAUUUCACGCCUUGAUAACUUUGACUGUGUGAGGCAGAUUGCUCUCUCCCGACAAAUACUGUGUUCACUAAAGUCGGCCUGUUAUCUUGAAUAAAUGAAAAUAUUAUCAUAAUAAUUACAUAUAAUUUAAUCUUCUUUAGAACUAAUUAAGGUUUCAACGAGAGGGCGAAAUGUAUUCCUAAAAAUCAAGUCAGCGAGUAUGAGGAUGAGCUGAGCCCAGAGUUAACUGCUCUCAUUAAGAUAAAUGGCCACUGGCUGGCCCAUCUCAUGUUACACUCCGUAUACAGUAUCAGUGGAGAGAAGUGCACAAUGGAGCUAUGAAUUAGGUAGCCUGACAUUUUGUCGGUGAGAGUGCACAAUGACUUUUUGGUGAACAGUCACCAGACAGGUGUGAAGAGUCAUUAAACAGUGAGGUCAGGUAACCAGUUUGAUGCUAAUGUUCUGUGAAGCCAGGGAUUUAGCUGAGAUCGGUGCGCGCUUGGCUGGAGCUGUGCAGCGAUGUCCCAGGUGGACCCGUGCCAUAGUAAGUGGUCCCCAUGAAGCCAUCCUCCUGUGUGUGUGUGUGUGUGUGUGUGUGUGUGUGUGUUAAAGCCAAACAUAAAUGCUUUGUCUUGGCUGCUCUGUGUGAGAUUGAGGAGCAGAGAAAACACAGUGAUAGGGCUAAAUAUAGUGGCAAAUACCUGUAAAUCUGCACAUCAAAGCUCUGCAUUUUUUAAUUUCAUCUUAAAAAGAGGAGUAGCUCCUCUCCAUAUGCGAUCUCAUCAACUUGCGGCCCCGAGCAAAUAGCAGCAGUGCACGAGCGAGUCUGCAGGGGACAAGCAGCUACAGCACCAGCAACAAUGAUAAAGGCUGUUCAUCUGGCAAAGUCAAACCUCCGGGUCCUCUUGCGCGUGAUUGUUUUAUCGAAACAGAUAUUUCAAACAUGCACCGAUAUAUGUUAACAACACACGUGUCUGUGUCUCUACUGUAAGUGUCUCACAAUUAAGAAUUUUCACAGAGGGGAUUUUCCAUCAAUCGGAGUGCCAAGUGAGAAAGCUUGUAAGGACAGAUUCUGAUUCCUGCCACAUCACAGAAAUGCAGAAUUUAUGUGAAAGCAUAAAGAAAGAGUCUGAGUGGAACAUGCAAUAUAGAUGUAGAUCCUGUCUGCCUGAUAAGAUACAAAGCAAAAUGUAAAAUGCAUAUCAACCAGCAUGAAUGAACCACUGCCUCUGCUUAUUCAUUUCCUCAGCCUCCAACUCUCUCUGCUACCUUCCUCUCCAGAAGUCUGCAUGUUACUCAGCCAUAUGCCCCGCCAUCUUUAUGCUAUCAUCCUCUCCUUGUGUGUGACCCGGCUGACUGGCCUAAGCCUCCCUACCCUCUCUACCUCCCUUACCCUGGUGUUGAACCCUGCUGUGGGUAGUUCCUCAUUGCUGCCCUGCCCGCCCUCCUGCGCACAGCGCUGAGCUGAGCUGGCUAAUCUCUGUGAGCUUAAUGCCGAGCCAACGGAACUCCCCUCUCUCCUUCUCUAUCUAUCUAUUUCCCUCUAUAUCUAUAUCCCAUCAAACAAAUGCGUGUGCACACACAGUCUUAAGAUGUGCUGGUUUAGGUAUUUUCCUCUCUCCUGUUCAAAGCAUCUUACAUAAGCCCCUGGAUUGUGAGGACAUGAAAUCUCCUCGAGAGCAUGCCAACGGAGUGCCCGACACAGAUACGCCUCAGUAACCUCAAUACCCUUCUCCCCGCCUCCUGCAGGGCGUCCGGAGAGAAGCUGGAUACUCACACAUGUUGGAAUCAAAGCUGUCAACAUGAGCCCACAACACUGAACUCAUGUAGAAAACAAGGACAUAUUUUGGGCUACAUGCUGGGAAGAAGCCCCUCACUCUGCUCCUUAAUGAUCCUGUCAGAUUUACAGCAAUACUCUCACUGAGACUCCACCCUCUCUGCAUCUCUCUGGGGCGAGUUAAAGAAAGGCUGCUGGACUAAGUUUAAGAGACAGCCAUGUUGCUGUGGGAUGGACGGUGUUGUUACGGCAGCAGCCUUACUGUUGUCUCAUCUAAUGCCAACAGACAUGUGGAUAUUUGGCCUUCGAGACUGCAAGACAACACUGGUCCACUCAGCAAAGAAUAGUAACAAAACCCGAAUGUCAAAAACACAAUAUAUAAAUAUAAAAGAUCUGAAUAAAGUUGUAUUUAAAUGUGGGUGAUGCAGUGGAGGUUGUCUGUUUUAUUUUUCUGUUCCUCAUGGUUUUGUUUCUCUAUGUCAUGUGGAUGAUAUACUGUAUGGAUGAUAUGAUGGCAUUUACUGUGGUUUCCAACAUUCUAAAAAUCAAUAAAGUACACAGAAGUACUUAAACCA